UUUCACUCUGAAAGAACCGGGUCCCGCUCAUGUGGAUAUCGUCUGAGGGCCGCCUUCGCUCACAAUGUGCGACACUGCUCGGUGCGGGAGCAUGAGAACGGACCCUCCUGAAUAGCGAGGUUUUCAUACUCGGCCCGUAACCAUGGAAGCAGAUGCCUGGUCUCCCUGCCCUCCUUACCUCCUGGCAGUCACGGGUCUGCUCCCCAUUGUGAUGGGGGGUACGCCUCGGUCUUUCUUCGCCGUGACCGAACUUGCCUCUUCUUCAAAGGGAGCGGUCCGGCAGGUCACCGGUCUAGACUUGUUUGCACGGUCCAGGGAGCAGCCUUGAGGAAUUCUGAAGUUCCUUCACAAGUUCUGGACAUUUCCCCCAUUUGGCUGGCUGACAGGCAUCUGAUGUGACCUCAAAGCUCGAAUGUGCAGGUUCGCCAAUGAAACCCGCCAGCCCAGCUGCGCUUUCCUCAUGAGCCGAGGGCUGAGAUCGCUCAAUGCAUUAUUUAUAACUUCAUCAGCGGCGUAAAAGUGAGGGCUGAUAAUGCGACCGGACUCUGUUUCUCCCUCUAAUGUACCUUGGCUUCUGCUGGCCUGUGAUUACAUGGCCCUGCCAGGUUCCAACACUGCUGCGUUUUCGUCGCUGCUAACCCCCAAAAUACACACACACGCUGGCCACCCUACUUCCCUCAUCUUCUUGCCCCGUUUGCUCUCACAGACCCCUCACUGUCCAUACCUUCCAAAAAUCUUUGCCAGGAGGAAACAGUUGCUAUAAAGCAAAGCUUAAUUUAUAGGAGGCCAGCACUAUGGCCCUGUCUUGAUAUGGGUCCCUGUGUCCAUCUGCCAGUGCACCUUAAGUGAUGAAGUAAUAAAAAUCCUCCCUAGUACAGUAAAAUGUGAAGUAAUUUUAGAUACCAUUUGAGCUCAAUGGGUCUAUUAGGAAAGCAUCAGAAUUCCCAUUCACCACAAAAUAUUUUGCUUAUGUUCAGUCCUCCAAAUUAUCUUCGUAUGGAAUUCACUGGAAAUAUAAAAAAGUCUUGCAAUACGAUUGAAAACUUAAAAUAUACAGUGCAGCUGUAAAUAUUACACUUAGUUAUAAAACAUCCUAUCACUUGAAUAAUGCAAAGCAAGCACUGCACACAUACAACAUUUGACCUUAUUUUGGAAAUCAGAUCAACUCCCCUAUAGGUUUUCCCCAGAUACUGCUAGCAAAUUUGCAUUCAAAGAUACAAUUUAAAAUUCACAUUAGUGGAAAAAAAUUAUCACAGAUCACCACUGUAAUUUUGAGAUCAGCUUCUCUGCCCUUUGGGGGGUGGCAUGGUGGC